CAAAACGAAAAAAAAGAAAGAAAGAAAAUCUUUUUAUUUUUCAAGUAGACCAAGCAUACUGACUUCAAUACAGGACCAUCCAAUUUUCUUGGGCCCCUAUGAAAAAAGUUCACUUUUCCAUGUGAUCAAGGAUGUGCAGAAAACAGAUGGUUUGAACCAUAGAUGGUCCAAUAAUCUGUUUGAACAGUUCCAUAUCUCAAGGGAGCCAUGACCAUGACAAUCCUAUCCAUGGUUGUAAAAAUACUGGCCAAAGUUUGGAAGGUUGGCAUCCUCCUAUUAGUGGCUUUCUCCUUCUUGCCACCAUGUGUUUCCCCUCAUGUUCAUCUUAUGGCUAUAAAAAGGAAAUGCCCAAUUCAAAACUCAAGUGGGCCACACCAAGGAGAUAAAUUGAAAUCACACAUAAAACCUCUAACUGAAUUCAUAGUGUGGACUACCUGAGUUUUGGAUAUGGUUGAUUUUUGGAGUGUCCAUCCUAGUGAGGCACACUUGAUCAAUGGGUUAGAUGGCACAUACACUAUAUAGUGGACCCCACAAGACGACUUGAAGCUUCCAUGGUAUGCAUCCCCAUCCCCAUCAUCCCCUGUGCUGUGACCUACCUGAGUUGUGGAUCAGGCUGAUUUUUGGCCCGAGCGCCUGGACAGUGUGGAUGGUCACACACGCAACACAAUGGGCCCCACAAAUCUCUGUUGUUAUAGUCACAUGCUACAAACACUCCGAUAAUCAACAUGUGUAUUUUGAAUGUAGAUUGUUGGUCAAAUUUUUCUUUUACUGUCCAUUUCUUCCAUACUUGAAUGCCCCAACUAUCAGCAGACAUGAUCUUAUCAUGCCUCAAAUGAGUUACUAUUGGGACUAGCUUGCUUGGCAGCUUAAGUGUGAUGCCUUGGCAUUCAGUGUUUCUUGGAAGAUUGAGGACCUGUUUGGUAGACACCUAUAAAUGAGUUCAUCUCAUUUUAGUUGAUCAAAAUUAUGUGUUAGAGAUCGUGAUUGUUGGUUAUCGUAAUUAUUUUUAAUCCUGAUCUCUAAGAUGUAAUUAUGAUUGAGAAAUGCUCUAGUGGGUUAACUGUAUGGAAACCUUUCCAUGCACCUAGUUGGGUUUGGAUUGCCAUCCACAUCAUCUAUCUGACCGUCCAUUAGGUCCAGUCCAUACUUCUUCCACAACCUUGGAAAUGUCAUACUGAUUGGAUGAUCAGAACCCUUCAAUUAUUGGCAUGCAGAAAUGGAGGGACAUGAUUGUUUAUACAAGAUAGGUACGGUCACAAAUGUUUAGGACCAUAUGAUUGCUUUGGGAUGUUCACAGUAGUGGAAGAAAAGUGCACUGGACCUUAUGGAUGGUCCAGAUAGAUGCUGUAGAAUCCAGCAAGUCCAAGUGCAACUAUUUACAUUGAAUGGUUUCCAUACCCUUAGGGCGUGCCAUCAUUUCUCAUUAUGAUUAUCUACAAUGAAAUGAACUCAUUUAUCAGCAUCUACCAAACAGGACCCAAGCUGCCAGUAUCAUCCACCAUUUCUUAUAGCAGCAUCCCAGUUGCCACUACACUAAUGUAGCAUGUAUGCACAUAAAUCCAGACCAUCCAAAAUCAUAGGUCUGUCAUUUAUAGUGUGGCCUGGAAAUCACAUUUGAGUGGGCCAAGCAAAGCAUCUAAUUACCAUCUAUGAAAUAGGUGGUCACCAGUAAGAUGUUCAGCAAUAUAAACAAAACGAAGGGAACUUGGAUGGUUAAAAAUUGUUUGAUACCAGCCGAUGAUCCAUACACAAAUGGGUCUUCAAUCUCCACAGUCCAUAUUUGCCAAGCAUAUGGGAUUGUGGGGUCGGGGAUGAGACAUUACAACUUAAAAACGUCUGUGAACAAUCAGCAUAGAUAUCUUUCUUUUGUGAGGUUUCCUUGAAUACAUCUGGACAUAUUGCAAUAUGAUAUGUUUGAUGUUAUCCAUUGGAAUUUGGCUCUUUUUAAUGACCCAAACCGUACGUGUCAUAGGACCCCCUUGGAUGGAAGAUGCCUAAAACAUUUAUUAGGUUGAAUAUUUCAACUCUUUGAUUUCAUAGGUUAUGAUGGUCGCCCAUUUUCAAAAUAAAAGAACCAAAUCUCAAAUGGUUAAAAUAAUCCAAUUUAAGAACUUUUAUUUGUUGUCUAUCUACUAUAACAGUUGGAACUAAAUCACAUUAACAGUUUGGAUCAUUGGCAGACGAUCCAGAUUCAAAGGCUGAAAUCCCUACGUAUCACAUUGCAAUACAUCGGGAUGUAUUGGAUCAAACCUUUUUUUUUUUUCUUUUUUUUUUUUUGUAUGUUUUAUGUGAAUUGGAGUUC